AUUGAACGCUGGCGGCAGGCCUAACACAUGCAAGUCGAGCGGUUGCAGGGAGCUUGCUCCUGGAUUCAGCGGCGGACGGGUGUGUAAUGCCUAGGAAUCUGCCUGGUAGUGGGGGAUAACGUCCGGAAACUGGCGCUAAUACCGCAUACGUCCUGAGGGAGAAAGUGGGGGCUCUUCGGACCUCACGCUAUCAGAUGAGCCUAGGUCGGAUUAGCUAGUUGGUGGGGUAAAGGCCUACCAAGGCGACGAUCCGUAACUGGUCUGAGAGGAUGAUCAGUCACACUGGAACUGAGACACGGCCCAGACUCCUACGGGAGGCAGCAGUGGGGAAUUUUGGACAAUGGGCGAAAGCCUGAUCCAGCCAUGCCGCGUGUAGGAUGAAGGUCUUCGGAUUGUAAAGUACUUUAGGAUGGAAGGAAAGGCAGUAUGUUAAUACCUGGCUGUUUUGACGGUACCGACAGAAUAAGCACCGGCUAACUACGUG
rnacentral:rRNA from 1 species